CCAAUAGCGUAUAUUAACGUUGUUGCCGUUAAAACGCUCGUAGUUGAAUUUUAGGCCUGACCGGGCGGUCCGUCUUUGGCGAGUACUGUCCUGUGUCGGGUCCACCUUCUGGUGAACCAGUAUGUCCUUUAUUGGGUGUGCCGGGGAGCCAGGACCAUUACCUUGAAAAAAUUAGAGUGUUUAAAGCAGGCAUUUGCUUGAAUAGAUUAGCAUGGAAUAAUAGAAUAGGACGUUGUGGUUCUAUUUUGUUGGUUUCUAGGACCACCGUAAUGAUUAAUAGGGAUAGUUGGGGGCAUUAGUAUUCAAUUGUCAGAGGUGAAAUUCUUGGAUUUAUUGAAGACUAACUAUUGCGAAAGCAUUUGCCAAGGAUGUUUUCAUUAAUCAAGAACGAAAGUUAGGGGAUCGAAGACGAUCAGAUACCGUCGUAGUCUUAACCAUAAACUAUGCCGACUAGGAAUCGGGCGACGUUAUUUUCAUGACUCGCUCGGCGCCUUAUG
rnacentral:rRNA from 1 species